GGCGCAGUCCGCGGCAGGGUUCCGGCCGUGCUGCGGUCCGCACGCUGCGCCCGCUCCCGCCUGCCUCCCGCCCUACCCCCCACCCUCCCCUCCCCCCGCUCGACCCCCCAUCCGACGGCCCGGCCGGGCUGGGACCCCCGCACCGGGGUCCCGGUUCCCGUCCGCGGCCCGGGGGGACCCGAGCGGGGGCUUCCCACCCCCACCCCGCUCCUCCCCGGGCUCCGGCCCGGGAUCCCUCGCUGCUCCCGGCGACCUCCGCCGGCUUCCCGGUCCACCCGCCGCGGAACGGACGGGACCCGGGGUCCGCGCCCUUCCCCUCCCCCCACGGGGGGCUGGGUCGCGGACCCCGGUUCCUAGGCUCGUUCCGCGGUGGGCGACCGGGGAUCCCCCACCCAGCUCCCCUUCCCGGCUCGCCCCGCUGGCUUUUGGGCCCCUCCGGGCUUUUUUUCCGGCUGGGGGUCGCGGCGGCCGGCCGACGACGGUAGGUGGGCCGGGCGGACGGUGGUGGGGACGGGCGACGCCCCGGCUCGACGGCAGUCGGCCCCGGGGGGUUGGGGGCUGGGGGCCCGGUCAGGAGCUCCGGGAGCGGGGUUGACCGCGACGGCUUCCGGGUCUCGCGGCGGCUCCCUCUCGGCGGCUCCGGUUGGGCUCCCCUCCCCCCUCUCGAGGGUCCGGUCGCCGGUCGUGGUCGGGGGUCCCUCGGCCUAGCCGCCGGCUCUCGGUCCGCCUUACCCUGGGCGUUGGCCGGUCCCGUGACGCUCCCCUCCCCCGCUGCUCCCCAAAAACUCCGCCCGAACCGUCGCGGUUUGCUGGCCCUGGGCGUGGUCUCCCCACUCCCCUCCCCCCAUCGGCCGCCCAGCCGGGGUCGGCGCCUCGGACCCCACCAGGCUGUGGCGUGUGUGCUGGCCGAUGCGGCGGCGAGGUUGGGUGUGGCCGGAAGCGCUCGGGGUCGACGGUGGGCCGCCAUGACACCUCAAUUGCCGUCAGUACGCCCCUCCACAAUCACCGUCCCCACACGAUGGGCCCGGCAGUUCACCCAACGUUGGUUCAGGCCCAGUCGGGUUUUUCCCCGGUACGAACGCACGUCCCCGUGGGCUCCACGCGUUUUCCACCCUUUCCUGGAGGGGUCCGGAACACCGUGAAUCCACGGGGAGGGUCCCGGCACGGGCCGAGGAGACCACGACCGUCCCACCCGGCGUGUCGACUCGUCCGAGACCCGGGAAGGGAACAGGCCCCACCUUUUUUCCCUUCUCCGAUUUGCCGUGGAAAACCCGUGAACCGAUACGGGUGCAGACGGCCGAAAAAAAAAUCGAGACGACAACAUGACGGCAGGGCGUGAUCUUCUCCCCCAUCCGACAAAACCGUGUCCCUUAAAAUUCCCCACCUUUCUCUGUUCAAAUGGCCCCGAAACUGUAAAACACCGUUUGACCGCACCCCAACCGGCGCCAUCUUGGUGACCUUCUCGACGGUUCUCUCGCUCGUCAUGCCGUUCUGAGCUCCGACAUGGCGGACGAGAGAAAAUGGCGUCGAGAGCCUAGGAGCGUUUUCGCUCCAGGCGGGUAAAAAAAUAGCACGAUAACUUUUCUGUGCUUUUUUGAGACGUUUUAGAAGAGCUUUUUUUCUGCUCAGAGCGAAAAAAUGAUAGCCCUGAAAAUCUCGACGAGUCUGGCCGAGCGGCGCCAUCUUGGAGGAGGGGCGAGUCGCGGGCACCGCCUCGGUACCCCCUGGCCGAGGCGAGUCCGCGGUCGCCGCCUGUUCCGUGAUGCUACCUAGAGGGCGCCGUCGAGGCGACUCUUCCUGUUUUCGCCCUGAGGGCUAACGGUCGCUGACGUCAAACCAUCUCGUGCUCGCUGAGUCACAUCCGGUUGUUGACGAGCGAUGGAGGACCGCACCCAAAGUGCGCCCUCUAGUCAUCGCGCCUGACCCCUUUUAUAAACUGCUCGAAGAAAAGAACACCUUAUGUGAAAAAAUACAGAAUGAUGACAAGUUCAUCCAACACAACCGCUCAACAACGCCAUAUCUAUCAGUGUCCAAAAACUAUCUUCUAUCCUUUGAAACUAUAAAUGCUGCCUAUAUACAUAUUUAGUAUCCAAGACUCUUACCACGUAGACGAAAAGAAGUGAUACAAUGAUCUUGACGUGUAUCGUCUAUAUCGUGCUAGAUAUAUUCAGAUAAGACGCGCAAACCAUAGAUUUCUCAUCAGUAUCAUGAAAGACCUAUAGCUCUAUAUACGAACCUAGUCAUUUUAGGACAGCCGCCGGAGAAGCCGACGAGGGAUCGGGCGGGUGCAGCCAGAACCUCACGCCCGAUCCCGCCUCCGGUAGGCGAUUUGCAUCUGUUUGGUAAAAAGCUCAUAAGUCUGUAUGUGACCUAUAUAUAUAUUAUACGCUAUGUACACCGAACUGUCGCUGUUGUAUAAGAAGAAAAAACUCUCCAUAUUUAUAUCGUCUGAAUUUUUGCUUGAUAGACACGUGUUUGGAACUCUGUCCCCCCACGUUUUCACUGUGUAUAACAAAAAUAUGUGUUUCUCAAAAGAUCUUGAGGUGUUUGAAAACGGGGGAAACCUGCGUUUGGGUGCGCUAAGCCCCGGACUGGGACGUAGCCGGCGUCCGGCACCUAUAUUUUUCUAUUUUUUUUUUUUUUUUUACAAAAUAUAUGAUGAACCAAGAAUAAAACUCUAGCUCUCGUCUAUUUUUAAUAUGCUCUACUUAGAACCUUUUUAAUGACAGAAUGAACUCCAUGUUAUACGCUCUUUAUAUAGUUUCUCUGCACUAACCUUUAAAACCGUAUCCUUCCCUGUUGUACAAAUCAUCUUUUGAUACACAAUGAUGACCUGAUAUCCCUCCAUAUAUAUGAUCGGAUAUUAUUCCGUUAGACUUGUCCUCCUUUUUUUUCCUCAUCUCCUGUAUCUGGAGAUAUAUGUUGACCACCACCGCCAUGACCACCAAAAAGCUAGCCGUCACGACUAGAAAUGUGUAGGAUUCGGACUUUCCGUUCGAGAAGAAAGAGACCGCGUCUCUGGACGCUCUUUUUGUCGGUCUGAAUCGACCCGGGAUACGUAAGAGAGCGGCCCUACAUCGGGGGGCGCUCGAGACCGACGACGUUCCAUCUGACCAGAAAAAAAAAGGCACCCCUCGGUGGCGACCUCUCACCAUCGUUUGCCCGUCCGCCCGUCCUUCGUAGCCAUCAUCAUCAUCUCAGGCUCUAUCGGUACCAUCGUUGUCAUCUGAAAAAAAAAACUGCCUCACCCACCUGCGUAAAAACACCAUCUUUCCGGAGGUGCGGUAAGACGGGCAAAUACGGUCGUGCCGAGGCAAAAAAACGCACCAUCGACACCACACCCUCAUGAGCACCACCUGUCGGUGUUGGUCGUCCUCCAUCGUUCUCUACGAACAUCUCGACGCCCGGGUGACGGACGACGGCAAGACGUCCCGGAGAAGACGGUGUUCUCUCGGGCGGUACGCUCUCUGGAUCUAUAAUAUCUAUAGUAGCUAAACGAGACUGUGAGUACGACGAACCACAUCAUCUUUUUUUUAUGUUGCUUCUUUAGAAAAUGACUUAUGUCGACGACACUCGGCAUCAGCCAUCUCGUGAAACACGCUCGCUUUUCGUCUCUCCAAGGAACACUGGGUCCGCUGAAAGGGACCGUGUACCGACCAAAGCAAAAAACACACACGUAGUAACAUGAUCAACCACGUCUGAAUGACACGAAAACACAAUCGUAUAACGCUCUAUUCAUGGAACGAACUUGGAAUAAAAAAACCAUCGCAGGCCAGAGGCUAAGCCGAAACCGUCCGGGGAAGCGGGCGCGAGUUUUCCGACUUAGUCUCUGGUGCUCGUUGAGCCUCUUUUUUUUUCCUGAUUCUCUGAAGAAUCACCGUCACAGCCCUAUGACGCGAAAUCAAUUGCUAGAACAUAAACGUUCUCAACAGGUAUGAAAUGAACAAACUAGAUGAUGCUAUAACCUUAUAUUGUGUGUAUAUAGAUAGGUGUGAAAUUUGUAGGAUAAAAAGUGUCGUUGUAUGAUGCACAACGAUCGUGAAACUGGAGACUGUAGCUCUCUACCGAAUGCAAAUACACAAAUGACAUCGAUUCCCGUCCCCACAUAAAGAAAUGUGCUUUACUGUGAAAGAAUGAAGAAGAUUCUUGUUCCUCGUACGACGGGGCCCUCGCUCGUCGUGCCUCUUCCCCCCUCCGGGAGAGGGGACGUCGGGGCCCUCCGUCGCACCGAGCCGAAGCCAGUGAAAUGUUUACUACACUGUCAUCAGAAUAUAUGAUGUAUAUUAUUUCCUCCAAACUCCUCACCAUAGCCACCAAUUCGCAUCACUUAAGAAAGUAGUAGCAACCGCGGCGGCGGCGACCGGCCGGUCGUCGUCUCCUCGUCCUCAAAUGUUGUACAUGUGCAGAAAAAUGUGUAAAUACGUGUUAUUUAUCCCAUGCGUCUUGUACAUAGAUAUAUGUUUUUAUAUACGCUAUUUAUACUUUAUAUAUCCUUUAUAUAUCCUUUUGCAUAACCAUAGACAGUCAAGGAUUUUAAUGAUUUGCUCAUCCGCCUUUGAGCCAUCGCUUAGGAGUUAGUUCCUCUAUGUUCUCGGCCCACCUUUUCGACUACAGUAGCAAACCCUUGUACUACCACCCCGAUAAAAACCACAUCAUCAUCGUCACCACGACCUGGAAACGACACACGUUCCCCCCCAAUCUUGGGCAUGUGUAUAUAUAAAAAGAAUGGGAGGGAGAGGACGUGGGGCUCGAGAAGAAAUAAACGCCAAGCUCGAUUCGAACC
rnacentral:lncRNA from 1 species